rnacentral:rRNA from 1 species
GUAGGGAGUAUUCGGCAAUGGGGGAAACCCUGACCGAGCAACGCCGCGUGCGCGAUGAAGCCCUUCGGGGCGUAAAGCGCUGUGGCGGGAGGGGAAACUCUCCGGGAGCAAAUGCCCGGAGACCGACCGUCCCGCUAGAAAGCAACUGCUAACUACGUGCCAGCAGCAGCGGUAAUACGUAGGUUGCAAGCGUUAUCCGGAAUUAUUGGGCGUAAAGAGUGAGCAGGCGGCCUGCCAAGCACGGGGUCAAAUGACGGGGCUCAACCCCGUCCCGUCCCGUGAACUGGCUGGCUGGAGUCCUGGAGAGGCAAGCGGAACUCCACAUGUAGCGGUGAAAUGCGCAGAUAUGUGGAAGAACACCGGCGGCGAAGGCGGCUUGCUAGACAGCGACUGACGCUCAGUCACGAAAGCGUGGGGAGCAAAUAGGCUUAGAAACCCUAGUAGUCC